rnacentral:rRNA from 1 species
CUGUGAUGCCCUUAGAUGUCCUGGGCGGCACGCGCGUUACACUGAUGCACUCAACGAGUCUACCUUGGCCGAGAGGCCUGGGAAAUCUUGUUAACAUGCAUCGUGAUAGGGAUAGAUUAUUGCAAUUAUUAAUCUUGAACGAGGAAUUCCUAGUAAACGCAGAUCAUCAAUCUGCAUUGAUUACGUCCCUGCCCUUUGUACACACCGCCCGUCGCACCUACCGAUUGAAUGGUCCGGUGAAGCCUCGGGAUUGCGAUGAGUUUCCUUCAUUGGGAGUUCGUCGCGAGAACCUGUCUAAACCUUAUCAUUUAGAGGAAGGUGAAGUCGUAACAAGGUUUCC